rnacentral:lncRNA from 1 species
AAAAUGAGAAAUCAGGAUGAACAUUCAAGGUAAAAUAUAUGGAUGUUUUGAAGGAACCAAAAUUCAUCGUCGAACCAAAAUACAUGUGCCGUGUAGACGUCAGUAUCAAAACUAUGUAUGCAGCUGUAACAAGCAAAUAAGCUUUUGCACCGAAUUUCAGAGUAUAUAAUCCACUAUAUGCUUAGAAAUCUAAUGCAAUAAUCACAUCAGCAGCUCUUUGUUGACCUACCUCCAUAAGUGAUUUGGCUAAAUUACUAGCUUACAACCUUAUUUUGAUUCACAAAACUAAGAAACUAUACCUCCCACUUUCUAAGUACAUAACUUUUUUAUUAUCUCAUCAGGCUACACUGGCAGAUGGCUUCAAUUUCUUAGGUGGGGGGUUUCCUCCGGAGACAAGCACAUAUAGAUAAAAGCAGAGCAUUGCAGAACUGCACNUCCCUUUUGGUAAGAUAAGAUAUGAUCCAUCACCUAAUCCAUGUAACUAACCCAACCCGGUGGGAAAUCCUUUGGUUAUUAUUGUUGGCAAAUAGAGAGAGACUAGUCAAACUUGUAUCACCAUUCACCAACACCAAAGUGAAAAAUAUUAUGACUGAACAGUUAAGUCGUCUAAGAGACAAGUUAUCAAAUUGGGAAGACUUACCAAAUGGAAUUCCUAAACAAAAAUCAUGAAUUAUUGCAGUCUUUUUCUGCUGAUCAACGACACCUUCCUGUGUUGCCUCUCCUAACCCUAAUUUUUCUGAUCCACUUUCUUCUAAUUUUGAAUAUGACUCCUGCUUUUCUUCGACAUUCAAUUUUGAUUCAUCAGCUGCAUAACUUAGUGUAUUUUUUGUUUCAGUAUCAGCCGUCUCUGCUUCAUGCCUCUCCAAACUCAUAGCAACUGAUAACUAUAUGAGAUAUGUUUCCUGUUUAGUAUCAAGAUCAAAAUAAUUGCAACAGAGAUCUUUCAUUUAAAAGAAUAUAUAAUACGCACAACCCUUUAACCCUAUUUAUAACGUCUAGCACUACGCCUUUUAAUCUUAGAGUGGCAUAUGCAAAAAUAAAGAUUUUACAUGAUUUCCACUAACUGCGUAUAAACAUAUAGCAGCAAGCAAAAAUAAACUAGUUGUGCAUUUCCCGAUCAUUAUAUCGUUAAUGCCAACUUGAUCGAUCAUACACACUUCCAGCACAAUUCUCACGGUUCUAACUAGAAUUACAUACAGUGAGGUAGAAGCAUAUCUGUUCAUUAAAGUUACACUUCCUGGUACUUGCCGGAAAAUAUGCCUAUGUGUGAGUGUUAAUGACUCUCAGACACUAAAUUUGAAUCAUGAAGCUAAACUAAAAUGGAUCUAUGUUAACGCCUCUUUUAAAUUUGAUUUUCCAUGAUUUCAAAGGAAAACAUAACGGUUUGAAUCCAUUAACUAUAAAAACAACAAAUUCAGAAAACCAGAUGCACAAAAGAAAGCCAAGAUCUAUGAGAUAACAAAUUCAGAACACUGUAGCUAACAGAACCACAAAUUCAACAAUAUACUACUUAGAGAUAACAAUUUUUCAUUCUAAAACCAGCUACUCAUUCAUAAAAAUUGACAAGAAUUCAGAUUUUCAAUUUCGAAGUUUCUUUAACCUGGGAGUCGUUGUAAAUAGAUCUAUGAAAAUCGAAGGCGUUCAUGUAGUUGAAAAAUUCAAUUGGAUAAACUAAAACCCUAGUAAGUCAUAAUUGAACUCAACCGUGAUCAAAGAGGAUUUCAUACAACAAAAAAACAGAGAAAACAUAAAGAUUCAAUACGAAUUUGUUUAAUUUAAUAACGAUGAUUAUCAUAUAAGUUGAAUGGAGAAAGAAAAAAGAAGAGUUUGAGAAGCCAAGAGUGGAAUGAGGACCUUGGAGUGGCGAAAGGAAAGGCAUGGAAGCGAGCGGCGUUGCUGGAUGUGUAGACUACGAUGAACGGUGGGGAAGCAGAACAACUGAGCCUGAGAUGUCGCCGCCAUGGUUGAACGGAGAAUAAUGGUUAAUUUCCCUUGGUAGCAGAGAUUUGAAUUUUUCGUUUUGGGAGAGUGAAAUGGGAAUGAGGAAAACGUUGCAGAUGUUGAAUCGUCAAAGCCGACCGUUCACGAACCUGUCCGGCGAAGUAUUUAAUUAAAAAAUAAUUAAGAAAAACAGCUGAUUCGGUUUUGUCAUCUUUGGAUGAAUAAUAUACAAGUUACCUUUUUAUUUAAUUUUAAAAAUAAUUAAAAUAUUGGGAUAUGCAUUUGAUGUAGUACCUAAGAAUCCUUUCCACACACUUUUGGAUCUUGUUUUACUAUAUCAAUAAAUAAAUAAUAAUUAAUUAUGCUCACGUUAAUUUUUUGAGUUAAAUAUUUUAGAUUUUUGAAGUGUUUUUCUAUCGUGCAUAUAGUUUGUUUUAAAUACAAUUUAUAAAUAUUAAAUUUCAUUUAAUCUUAGUUAUUAAAGUUAUAUUCAGAGUAAAAACUGCAGAUUUUCAGUAGAUUUUUUUUAGAUUUUUCUGUGAAUUUUUUUAAUUUUAAAAAUAAAAUUAAAAAUAUUUUGAUAUUAUUUUAGAAAAUAUAUAAAUGGCGAAAAUCAAAAAUACAUCAAAUUACGGGAAUAAAAGAUUAUAUAAGUCUAUAUUUUAUAAUAAAUAACAAAUAUUAUUGUUUAAAUGCAGCAGAAAUUAAAUACUUUUAUACAUAAAGAAUAUUGAUAUAUUUAAUUAAUACUGUACUAUUUAUAAAUUAUUUUUAAAAACCUAUCUACGAUUGUUCUUGGUCUUGGCACGGCUCCUUAUAUAUACUAAAUGAAUUCAAAAAUUUAUGCAUUUGGUUUUAUUGAAAAAUGCUUAACUUAUUUUACUUAAAUGUUUUUUCUAUGCACGCGUCAUUUAGAUGUUCUUGUGUAGUUGAAUUUUGAUUAGGUAAACUGAAUCAUGAGAAACCUAUUUUUUAGUUUUUUUUUAAAAUGUAAUAUUCAAAUACUUUCUCCUCCCUCUCCCUAUGUCUCAUAAAAGUGUUAUAUUGUAUGAUUGUUAAAGAAAAUGAUAUGGGUUGAUUUUAAUGAUAAAUCUAGUAUUAUUUAUUAAAAUAUUUUUAUUAAUUAUAGUUAAUAAAGUAGUUAAAAAAUGAAAGUUAAUAAAUAAGGGUAUAGUAAUAAGAGAAAAAUAAAUAAAUGUUAUAUUGAUAUUAUAAAAGAAUAAUUGUUUUAAGGGAAAAAAAAUGCAAAUAAGAUAUUUUUUAUGAAAUGGUGGAAGUAUGAAUCAUGGUGAAACCCGCAUGCACGAAUCAUGGCAUUAGUGACAACAUGACCAUCAAUGUCAUUUCCUCUUAAAAAAAGAAGAAUGAAUCAUGGCAUUCGUGACAACAUGACCAUCAAUGUCAUUUCCUCUUAAAAAAGAAGAAUGUGUAAUAGGACUGUUUCCACAAAGUGAAUCAAACAUUUAAAUAUAGGUAUUGGGGUUUGACAACGGUCAAUUUGAGUUGGGCUCGGGCCCAAAAUGCCAAACCGUUUGAAACCUUGGAUGCAAUUACAAGGCUCAAUUUCGACUGAAAUUUAAAUCGGUUUAAAUGGUUUAUGAUUACAAUGGAUCGGAUUGUAGAGUUAAUUUUUAUUUAAUUGUCAUAAAAAAUUUCAGUUACAUUUUAACUUUUU